rnacentral:lncRNA from 1 species
CAAGGCUUGUAAUGAGGUUGGCCUAACAAGAAAAAUUGGUUUUUCUGGAAAACAAAAUCCUUGAGUUAAGAGAGCUAUCAUAAUAUUUCACAAUUAAGCACAACUCUCUUUCUCACCAAUCUCACUUAUCCCAACUUUUUCCCUUUUCUUUUUUUUUCUUUUGCAUUGAGCCCAUCUUCAUGCUUUUCUUCUUUUCUUUUCUUUUUCUCAUGAAUUUUUCUUUCCACAACAUUUGAGCUCAAUGUUUUUCACUUGCCUUUCAAUUUCCCCCACACAACCCCAAACUUGAACCUUUUCAUCUCAUACAAUUAAGCUUAUCCCAACUCAAGGUAAAGAAUUUCAAGACAAGGGUUCGCAUCCUGUUUAAGGCUAAGGUUC